AACGAACGCUGGCGGCAGGCUUAACACAUGCAAGUCGAACGCAUCCUUCGGGGUGAGUGGCAGACGGGUGAGUAAUGCGUGGGAACGUGCCCUUCAGUUCGGGAUAACCCGGGGAAACUUGGGCUAAUACCGGAUACGUGCGAGAGCAGAAAGAUUUAUCGCUGAAGGAUCGGCCCGCGUCUGAUUAGCUAGUUGGUGGGGUAAUGGCCCACCAAGGCGACGAUCAGUAGCUGGUCUGAGAGGAUGAUCAGCCACAUUGGGACUGAGACACGGCCCAAACUCCUACGGGAGGCAGCAGUGGGGAAUAUUGGACAAUGGGCGCAAGCCUGAUCCAGCCAUGCCGCGUGAGUGAUGAAGGCCUUAGGGUUGUAAAGCUCUUUCGUCCGGGACGAUAAUGACGGUACCGGAAGAAGAAGCCCCGGCUAACUUCGUGCCAGCAGCCGCGGUAA
rnacentral:rRNA from 1 species